UUAAUCCAUGUUACUUCUCUUAUUGCUUCUUUUCUAUCUAUCUAUCUAUCUAUCUAUCUAUCUAUCUAUCUAUCUAUCUAUCUAUCUAUCUAUCUAUCUAUCUAUCUAUCUAUCUAUCUAUCUAUCUAUCUAUCUAUCUAUCUAUUACAUACACGCACAUUUAAUACCACCUGCUUAAUACUGUGCAGGUCCUCCUUGUGCCAUCAAAACAGCUCAGAGCCUCAACCCAUGGACUCCACAAGACUUCUAAAGGUGUGCUGUGGACACCAAGAUAAUUAGCAGCAGAUGCUUUAAAUCAUAUAAAGUGCAAGAUGGAGCUUCUAUUUAUCAGAUGUUUUUGUCCAGCACAUCCUACAUCUGACGCUUAGUUGGAUUAUUUGCUGAAUAUUUGCGAUUUUGCCAUCAUAAUUUGGCUAUUUGGCUUUUAUCAGUCACUCAGAUCCUUACGCUUGCCCAUUUCUCCUGCUUCUGACACAUCAAUGUCAAGUUCACUUGUUCCCUAAUAUUAUAUAAUAUAUAUAAUAAUAUAUAAUGUAUAGAUAUGAGGUUUCUGCUGUUGACAGUCUCUCUCACUGAUAUUUCACACAGGUGAAAAUGAUCAUCAUUUCUGUGAUUUCAUUUAGAUGAUAAAAAAUUCAUGUUCAUCAUUAGUGAAAUUAAGCCCAAAUCAUUUUUAAUCCUGUGCCAGGCCCAGCGUGGAAGGGUUCAAGCUCGCGGCUGUAAAGCGUGGCACCUGUUUGAGAGCAAAUGUUUCCUCUGUCAGAUGGAGACUGAUUGCUGAUUGCUAAUGCCUUCUGUGGGUGUUGAGUCUUCACGUAGGUGGCUGAUUGUUGUUGCCUGGAUGGAGGGUAAAGUGAUGCGUCAUCGCCAGAGACAACGCAGCACUUUGGCGCAUAAUGCGGACAUCUUCUGGGAACGAAAGUGUCUGGAGGCAACGGACGAGAGGAAGAGUAGAACGAGAGAUAGUCAGAGGCUGGUAGUAAAGCGCAAUGUUGAUUCCUUUCGAGUGGAUGAGGAACACUGGUCACUAGAGAGAUGAGCACGACAACACAGCCAAUCUGAAAGCGGCAUCAAAUGCUUUCAUCCGGAGAGACUUACUACUGAGGCAGUUCAAUCCGAGAAUAGAGCUGUUCGAAGAGCCGACAGUAAUGAAGAUGACGUGGAGGAACUGCAGGAUUUAUCAAGGCUACUCCUGACCUGCUGGAGAGAGCGAUGGCCUCGCCGCGAUCGGCAAAACAUUAUUUAUGGCUGGCAAUUUAGCAUACAGAUGAAAACGAGGGACCACCAGCUGCUGUCGCACACGGUGGUCACGGUGAUUACCGUCUGAACACGUGCUCUCAUGGGAACUCCGCGAUGACAACAAGGCAAAUUAAUUCUGUCUUUCGCUCACCUGUUUGUUCGUUCAUGCUCUUUCCCUCGCACACUAGCACUCAGUUAGUAUUUCACUUCCUCUCAUAAUAAGCCUUAUUCAGACAUUAGAGAUAUUAUGCACAUGAUUUAUAGCUAUACACUCCCAUAGAUCUUUCAUGCACCGAGUUCACUCAUGCAUUUGUCUUCUUUGAGGACUCAUACACGCGCAUGCUGAGAGGCCUAUUCAAAAUGCGAGUUGGAUUCCUGCCGUCAGCCACUGAAGAAAUACUCCAAACGAGGGAAGAAAGAAAAGAUAUAUGAAAUAAAGAAAAUCACAGACCAUUAUGUAAUACAAUAGACUGCCUAGAGUCUAAAUAAAAAAGCACAUCUCUUCAUAAAGAACAUCACAUCUACAGCAUAAUAACUUUCCAUGACAUGAUAAAAAAAAUACCGUAGGAAUAAAGAAUAUUUCUAA